GACGAACGCUGGCGGCGUGCUUAACACAUGCAAGUCGAACGGAAAGGCCCUGCUUUUGUGGGGUGCUCGAGUGGCGAACGGGUGAGUAACACGUGAGUAACCUGCCCUUGACUUUGGGAUAACUUCAGGAAACUGGGGCUAAUACCGGAUAGGAGCUCCUGCUGCAUGGUGGGGGUUGGAAAGUUUCGGCGGUUGGGGAUGGACUCGCGGCUUAUCAGCUUGUUGGUGGGGUAGUGGCUUACCACGGCUUUGACGGGUAGCCGGCCUGAGAGGGUGACCGGCCACAUUGGGACUGAGAUACGGCCCAGACUCCUACGGGCGGCAGCAGUGGGGAAUCUUGCACAAUGGGCGGAAGCCUGAUGCAGCAACGCCGCGUGCGGGAUGACGGCCUUCGGGUUGUAAACCGCUUUCGCCUGUGACGAAGCGUGAGUGACGGUAAUGGGUAAAGAAGCACCGGCUAACUACGUG
rnacentral:rRNA from 1 species